UACGUAGGGUGCGAGCGUUGUCCGGAAUUACUGGGCGUAAAGCGCGCGUAGGCGGCUUUGUAAGUUAGAGGUGAAAGCCCGGAGCUCAACUCCGGAACUGCCUUUAAGACUGCAUCGCUAGAAUUGUGGAGAGGUGAGUGGAAUUCCGAGUGUAGAGGUGAAAUUCGUAGAUAUUCGGAAGAACACCAGUGGCGAAGGCGACUCACUGGACACAUAUUGACGCUGAGGUGCGAAAGCGUGGGGAGCAAACAGG
rnacentral:rRNA from 1 species